AAGCCAAGGAAAGUCUCGAGGACUUCAGACAAACCACCAGAAACAAGAGAAGAUUCUCCUCUACAGGUGUCAAAGGAGCAUGGCCCUCUCAACACCUUGAUUUUAGACUUCUAGCCUCCAGAAAUAAGAGACAGUGUUUUUUGUUGUUGUCAUUGUUGCUUUAAGCCACCUAGUUUGCACUGAAUGGCAACCCUAGAGAGCUAAUACAAGGGUUGUGUCUUCCAUUCUUUUACCUGCAAGCAGGGCUGCAUGAAAAUUAACCCUGAUAGGCAGACUAUAUUAGACACUAUAGAACCUUCUGUAACCUAUCCUAAUGGAGAAGACCUCCCAAAUUAGAAAUUCUUAUCAGUAACCAAAACAGAAACAAAAAAGUGUUACUCCAAUUUACAGUUUCCCACCUGAAAGUAUCUUUGAAAACUGCUGAGGUCAUCCAGCCUUCCUUUCCUAAGGGAAUCCUCGCGGAGGAGGCAAAUCCAGAAGGACCAACAAGCAACUUUUCACUCUUGUCAUGUGUUUUUCAGAAUACCCAGAUCCCAAACACUUGAUGCUUCGACAUCCGUGGGUAUGAGGCAAUGACAACUGUCUAUCAUUCAAUGAAAUCACAGCAUGUACCACUAGCAACUGGGAAAACAGAGUAUUCCUAUUGAGGGCACUAUAAUAAAAUGUGCUCUAAAGGAGAUACUGGUUUGCUCUGUUUGGAACAAAGACAUAUGAGAUAUGGUCACAAAAACAGAGGACAGCUCUGGAAGACAGAAUCAGAGAACUUGUUGUUAGCUAGUUAAAAAUUACCAUAAAAAUAUGGUAUGUUAGCGAUCCCAUAGCAUAAUUUCACAGAUGAGAAAAAUCACGCUCAAGAUACAUCUUUGAGUCACCACUGAGGGCCCUGGCUUAGGCAGGCUUUCAACCAGACUGUGAUCCCAAUGCUUCCCACCUCCAAAGGCAGGAUGAUAAUAUUUAUUAUGUGCUUCAGAUACCCCCAACUAAAACUCGUUUUGUCUGAAAGAAAAACCAGUUUUGUAAGAGAGGAAAAAAGAAAAGAAAGUCUAUCAUUUUAAAGUGGAAAAUGGGGAACAUAUUACCAUGUUAUAAAAUCCCCAAAUACUCAGUGUUUAAAUGUGUCAGAAAGCAUGACAUUUAGGGCAACAUGCUAGUAACUGGGCCUUUAAAGACCACAAGUACAACCUGGCUUUUCUAAACAGACAUAAAAAAUUCCUUUCUGCUAUAUUUAACAAAAGAGCCAUAUAAUAAAACAUAUUACAGUAUUUACCAAACUGAGACAAACAAUAAAAUUUAUUACCGCCCAUUUUAAAUAAUACAACUACUUGUGGAAUCAAGGAGGAUGAAAGGAAAAAGGCAAAGGUGGGCCGGGCGUGGUGGCUCACGCCUGUAAUUCUAACACUUUGGGAGGCCGAGGCGGAUGGCUUGCCUGAGCUCAGGAGUUUGAGAUCAGCCUGCGUAACACGGUGAAACCCCAUCUCCACUAAAAAUACAAAAAAUUAGCUGGGCCUGGCAGCAUGCAACUUUAGUCCCAGCUACUUGGGAGCCUGAGGCAGGAGAAUUGCUUGAACCCAGGAGGCGGAGAUUGCAGUGAGCUGAGAUCAGGCCACUGCACUCCGGCCUGGGUGACAGAGCAAGACGCUAUCUCCAAAAAAAAAAAAAAAAAAAGAAAAA
ensembl:lncRNA